rnacentral:lncRNA from 1 species
AGUUCUGGGAAUCGCACAGGGGUGCGUACAAAUGGACCAGGACGCGGAGAGCACGGAAACAACGGUGCUGGGACCUUGUGCACAGAAUCCAGAUGCCAGAUGGGAAUUAAACAUUCGGCCGAGAAAAGCAAUCUAGUUCCCUGGGCUCGACUUUGACUCACUCCUUGGUCUGCACCAAUCCUCACAUCCCUCAGGUCCUCUAACUUUUACGACAGUAUCCAGAAAUCGAUUCUUUGGUCUCUACGGCUCCAGAAGGCUCGCUCAUCAAGAAACGUUCCAUUACCUUCGAUUAGAAGUGGAUACAUAUAUGAUUUUGGCCUAAAAAAAAAUUUGCAAAAAGGGAGAAUGCAAACUUGUCCUUUUCCUUUUGGAUUUACGGAGUGCCAGUAUCAGGUGUGGUUCCAGGUUCCCGUUCCAGGUUCCAGAUAAGGCUGUGAGUCUAUUGAGGAGGAAUCUCUGAAAAUGACAGCUGAUGGGUGUAGAGACCCACGCCCGGAAUCUCAGCAACUGAAGUGGUUGAAGCAGGAGCAUCUGGGCAGAGCUUGAACCAGGAAGCUGAGCGGCACCAUAGGUGUUGCUAACCAAGCAUAGCAGCAUAAUAAAAAUGGAGUGAUUAAAUGUA